UACGUAGGGUGCGAGCGUUGUCCGGAAUUAUUGGGCGUAAAGGGCUCGUAGGCGGUUUGUCGCGUCGGGAGUGAAAUCCACUGGCUUAACUGGUGGCUUGCUUUCGAUACGGGCAGACUGGAGGUAUGCAGGGGAGAACGGAACUCCUGGUGUAGCGGUGAAAUGCGCAGAUAUCAGGAGGAACACCGAUGGCGAAGGCAGGUCUCUGGGCCACUACUGACGCUGAGAAGCGAAAGCAUGGGGAGCGAACAGG
rnacentral:rRNA from 1 species